GCCCGCAUGGCUCAGUGGUAGAGCGUGUCACUAGUAGCAUCUUAAGAUUAUUCGCAGUUGCUUCUCUUUGCAAUGACAAGGUCGUCAGUUCGAUUCUGGCUGUGGGCA